rnacentral:siRNA from 1 species
GAAGCACUUUGUCAGGACCUCUGC